UUUGCAAAAGUUCGUACAAGGUUUCCGUAGGUGAACCUGCGGAAGGAUCAUUAUCGAGCGAAUCCAAAACGAACGAAAAAGUCUCCCAACGUGCAUACCUUCCAUUUGCAUGUUGUUGUGAGCCACAUGGAAACUCGUACACACGUGGUGGCAGCCGUCUGCUGUGCUUUUUUUAGGCAGACAAUGGCUUACGAGUGGCCGUGUGCUUGUUGAACAACGGUGACCAAUUUGGCGUCUACGCCGUAUCUAGCUUCUGCCUGGACCGUCAGUUGCGAUGAAAGAUGCGGAGAAAGUUCCUUUGUUUUGGCUGCUAAUCAUCAUUGAUGAGCAGUAGCUUAAGGCAGAGUUGAGCAGACUUAAUGAGCCACGCUAGGUGGCCGCCAAAACCCAAAACACAACCGGUCUAUUUGACAUUGUUAUUUCAUUGUAUGUGUUGAAAAUGUACAAAUCUUGGCGGUGGAUCACUCGGUUCGUGGAUCGAUGAAGAACGCAGCCAGCUGCGAUAAAUAGUGCGAAUUGCAGACACAUUGAGCACUAAGAAUUCGAACGCACAUUGCGCUAUCGGGUUCAUUCCCGAUGGCACGUCUGGCUGAGGGUCGAAUUACGGUGAACUGUCUUCACGGUUUUUCUGGACUGUGAAGCAUUCGGCAAGCAAUUGCUGUUGUGUUGUUGGUGAUUCUAUCAUGGACAAUAUGACGAGCGGUUCCUUGCUUAGUGAUGACAAAAGAAGACGUCAACACCGAAUCUACUAUACUACUAAUACUAGUAUAUAGGUGAGGUGCUUUUGGUGGUCACAAAAGUGACAAGUAUGCCAUUUCAUAGGGGCAACAACCAGCAUACGUGAUAAGUUGGCUGGUUGAUGAAACGGCAACGGAAUGACGGACGUCUAUGUGAUCAAAAAUGAUACUAUUUGACCUCAGCUCAGUCGUGAUUACCCGCUGAAUUUAAGCAUAUAAUUAAGCGGAGAAAGAAACUAAA
rnacentral:rRNA from 1 species